rnacentral:tRNA from 1 species
GUGGGCGUAGCUCAGCACGGUCAGAGCGCCGGUCUCCAAAACCGGAUGCCGCAGGUUCAACUCCUGUCGCCCAUG